rnacentral:rRNA from 1 species
GACGAACGCUGGCGGCGUGCUUAACACAUGCAAGUCGAACGGAAAGGCCCUGCUUUUGUGGGGUGCUCGAGUGGCGAACGGGUGAGUAACACGUGAGUAACCUGCCCUUGACUUUGGGAUAACUUCAGGAAACUGGGGCUAAUACCGGAUAGGAGCUCCUGCUGCAUGGUGGGGGUUGGAAAGUUUCGGCGGUUGGGGAUGGACUCGCGGCUUAUCAGCUUGUUGGUGGGGUAGUGGCUUACCAAGGCUUUGACGGGUAGCCGGCCUGAGGGGGUGACCGGCCCCACUGGGACGGGGAUACGGCCCAGACUCCUCCGGGAGGCAGCGGUGGGGAAUAUUGCACAAUGGGCGGAGGCCUGCUGCAGCAACGCCGCGUGCGGGAUGACGGCCUUCGGGUUGUAAACCGCUUUCGCCUGUGACGAAGCGUGAGUGACGGUAAUGGGUAAAGAAGCACCGGCUAACUACGUG